rnacentral:lncRNA from 1 species
GCUUCCCCUAGCUUUCUCAGCCUGCUCUGUUAUAGAACCCAAGACUACAGCCCAGAGAUGGCACCACCCACAAGGGGCCUUUCCCCCUUGAUCACUAAUUGAGAAAAUGCCUUACAUCUGGAUCUCAUGGAGGCAUUUCCCCAACUGAAGCUCCUUUCUCUGUGAUAACUACAGCUGUGUCAAGUUGAUCCAAAACUAGCCAGUACAGUUGACCCCUUGUCAACUUGACACACAAACACAUCACUAGUAAGCCUCAACCCUUACAUUCUUAUUCAUCCCCAAGAUCUCAAUAAAUUUAAAAGUCCUACAGUCUUUACAUAUUCUUAAAAUUUCAAUAUCCAUCUCUUUUAAAACCCAAAGUCUUUUUACAAUUAAAAGUCUCUUAACUGUGGGUUCCACUAAAGUAGUUUCUUCCUUCACUACCACACCUAGCUCACCUUUCAUUUUUUUUUAAUUACUAUUGCUUUAAAUGGGAAAUGAAAUAGGAGAUACACUCUGAAUUGUGUAUUCCUUGUAAUUAUUUGGUAACUUGAGAUCUUUUAUCCUAAAUACAAGAAAAUACAAUGCUUCAUAACUUUCAGCCAUCUGUUGUUCUAACUAUCGUAUUAAUGUGGACCUUGCACAAUCUGAUAUGUCUGUCUGUCUUCCAGUCCAAUUUGGUAAUUUGUUCCAUGUAGUGUUUAUGUGGAAAUAGCAUUUGUUACUUCUUACUUCCUUGUGAAACUCAAUUAUGGUACAAGUUCUCUAUUGUUUGGGGUGUAAUCAAUAAUGCAGACUGAUUUUGAGUAAAAGAAGAAUCACUUGCAAAGUUCAUUUCUGGAUUCAUAGCUAAUGUAAGCUUCUUUCAGGCUUCUGAGCCACAUCCCUUUCUGAUACUUAUUUUUUAUUCAGUGUAUUUUAUAUCCUUAACUUAGUCUGUCUGCCUCCCACACAAAGACCAGACCACAGUCUCUAAGACUCAAGUUUCUUUUGAGUGAAUGAGUAAAGAGAAAUAACAUUUCUUUUACUUG